rnacentral:rRNA from 1 species
GAUGAACGCUGGCGGCGUGCCUAACACAUGCAAGUCGAACGAAGCACUUAAUUACGAUCCCUUCGGGGUGACGAUUUUGUGACUUAGUGGCGGACGGGUGAGUAACGCGUGGGUAACCUGCCCUGUACUGGGGGACAACAGUUGGAAACGGCUGCUAAUACCGCAUAAGCGCACGAUAUCGCAUGGUAUUGUGUGAAAAACUCCGGUGGUACAGGAUGGACCCGCGUCUGAUUAGCUAGUUGGUGGGGUAACGGCCUACCAAGGCGACGAUCAGUAGCCGGCCUGAGAGGGUGAACGGCCACAUUGGGACUGAGACACGGCCCAGACUCC